rnacentral:lncRNA from 12 species
GAGCAAGGGGCUCUGGCACAGUACAUCGUUGGCAGGAGGCUACUAGUACUAAAUACUAGCAGAGAUGGCACUUGCAACAUUUUUACUCAUCAUGGAAGAAUAAUGGCAGGAAAAGAAGUCCUUUGACUCAACUGAAUUCAGAAGACAACUCAGACCUCUGUUCAUCUGAAGUGAAAAACAG